rfam:Triticum aestivum genome assembly, contig: Triticum_aestivum_CS42_TGACv1_scaffold_063904_1DL
CUCGUACUCCCUCCGUCUGAAAAAACUUGUCCCAAACUUGUUCCUCAAAUAGAUGCAUCUAGCGCACUAACUUGGUGCUAGAUACAUCUAUUUGAGGGACAAGCUUUUUCAAACGGAGGGAGUACGUC